rnacentral:pre_miRNA from 1 species
AAUAAGAUCGUUUUUUAGUUUUUUGAUAUAAUGUUUUAACUCUUUGUCUUAUUUAAAAUUUUUUUGCGAUUAAUAUUUUUAUUCUUACUAGAUGAAAAAACAUGAAUAAUACUUUAUGCGUGACUAAUUUUUUUAAGUUUUUAUAUAAAAUUUUCAAAUAAGACGAAUUGUCAAACGUUAAACACGGAAAA